GUACUAUUGCGUGCUGCGAAAAUUUGGGCUCAGGUUCGAUGGAAGCCUUGGCUACCUGGGCCGUCUUUCCCUCCAAUUGUCCAUGCUCGGUCCCCGGUUCCCUCGUCUGCACUGUCCUCGACUAAUAAGUAAUAGCUAGCAAAAUCAAACUUUUUUCAGGACGAAAUUAUCUCGUUUUGUCUCCCGCUUAUGAAGCGCUGCUGCAAAAAUGGAUCCUUCUGAGGGAUUAUUGAAGGGCACGAAUGGCGGGGUCGAUCAGCCGCCAAAAGAGAGUGGCAACCAGGUGGUUGGUAGAAAAGCAGCCUGGAACCGCAAGGGUUUGGAAGAAAAGAAAGCAGCCGUUGAUGAAGAGAUUUCGAGGAUGAACAAACUUCCGCCAAACAGCACUUACGCCAUUCAUCGCUUGCGUGUCUUGAAUAAAAUCCUUCACCUGUUAUCUAUGCAGAGAACCACAUCGCAGGAGGAGGAAUUGGAAAUGCUGUUUGCUGGUCUCUCUCUUUGAAGAAGCUUUCUAAAGUUUUUCAAUGUUGACGCACUGAACACGGAAAUUGCAAGAUGCCAAGGGGCAGCUGAACCUUGUAUGACAUAUGUGAAAAAAUGGAGUCACAGUUUGAGUUGCUGAAAUGAACAUUUGGUUCUGAAGGACGAUACCAGAUGCAUGUAGAUAUCUUGUUCUUUCUCAUUGCCAGGCUUGUGAAGUCACUGUAUUUACACUGGUUAUAUCUCUGUAACUAGAUACGGUGUCAUAUUUGAGUUGCUGAACUGAACGUUAUCGUUUUAGAAGAGUUUAUUGGAUGCAGCUACGUAUGUUGUUCGGUUCUCAUUUUGGAAAGCUUAUGGAUUCACCGGACAUAGACUGGCUAUUGCCAACGUAUGGAUUCUGGGAAUGGGAACUUAAAACUAGAAUGAAGUUCUGAGUUGA